GCUACACAUUUUUUGCCUUCAUUACAUUCUAUAUCUUAGAGACCAUUGUAUUUAUAUGUAGGACAAUUCCUGAAAGUAGAAUGGGCACAUCAAAGGGCUUCUGCAUUACAUGUUAAGGUGAUAGAAAAAGCUCCUGACCAUUGCAUGAUAAAGGAUAAAAUGGAGUGACUCCUAAAACAUCCAGUUUGCCAAAUUGCCUCCCACAGAGAGCACUGCCACCAGCAGUGUAUGAGUAUCUAUUUCCC
rnacentral:lncRNA from 1 species